rnacentral:rRNA from 1 species
AUUGAACGCUGGCGGCAUGCCUUACACAUGCAAGUCGAACGGCAGCACGGGUGCUUGCACCUGGUGGCGAGUGGCGAACGGGUGAGUAAUACAUCGGAACAUGUCCUGUAGUGGGGGAUAGCCCGGCGAAAGCCGGAUUAAUACCGCAUACGAUCUACGGAUGAAAGCGGGGGACCUUCGGGCCUCGCGCUAUAGGGUUGGGCGAUGGCUGAUUAGCUAGUUGGUGGGGUAAAGGCCUACCAAGGCGACGAUCAGUAGCUGGUCUGAGAGGACGACCAGCCACACUGGGACUGAGACACGGCCCAGACUCCUACGGGAGGCAGCAGUGGGGAAUUUUGGACAAUGGGCGAAAGCCUGAUCCAGCAAUGCCGCGUGUGUGAAGAAGGCCUUCGGGUUGUAAAGCACUUUUGUCCGGAAAGAAAUCCUUGGCUCUAAUACAGUCGGGGGAUGACGGUACCGGAAGAAUAAGCACCGGCUAACUACGUG